rnacentral:rRNA from 1 species
UACGUAGGGGGCAAGCGUUGUCCGGAAUCAUUGGGCGUAAAGAGCGUGUAGGCGGCCCGAUAAGUCCGCUGUGAAAGUCCAGGGCUCAACCCUGGAAUGCCGGUGGAUACUGUCGGGCUCGAGUCCGGAAGAGGAGUGUGGAAUUCCUGGUGUAGCGGUGAAAUGCGCAGAUAUCAGGAGGAACACCAAUGGCGAAGGCAGCACUCUGGGACGUGACUGACGCUGAGACGCGAAAGCGUGGGGAGCAAACAGG